GGGAGGGUCUGUGGCACUCUAGUAAGCAGUGGAAGUGUAGCCAGAGUCCUGCCUGGGAAUUCCUCUUAGUGGGCAGCGGACAGUUACUUGUGGAAGAUUUGCUAUAGAGGAGCCCGAGAGAGAGGCAUACACACAUGCCCCUGAUGUCUACAGAUAUUGGAGAGGAAAACCAAGAACCAUUGGCACACUGAGUUAGUCAAAUGUGUCCUGAGCUUACACAAUUCUCUGGAGGAGGGAAGGGCAGCCUUUCUACAUGCCUCCUCCUUGGACAAGCAUCUCUGGGCCUAGCCUCUGGCCUUUCCCUUCCUCUCCGCUUCCUGCCCACCAUGAAGGAAAGAACCCUUUCUGCCGCAUGCUCCUGUCUCCACGAUAGUCUGCGCAAAUGCAUGGGGACAAGCGACCACGGUCUGACUGCUUCGUGUUGUGACACAUCACAUUUUGUUUCAGCUUUGCUAUCUCCUUAGCAGGACUCUCAAAGCUAUCAGUACUAUCUCUUGCACACAUAUUGGACUCAUUUUAUGAGUAACACACACACAUCCUCAAGGUUGUGGAGUUCACAGAAGAGAGCCCUCCUUCACCCCUGCCCGAAGGCCUAUUUAAAACUAAAACUGAAUUUCAAUUAACUUCGCUUAGACAGCUUCUCCACACACCCUCGGAGAUAACAUUUACAAAUGACAUUGAGAGUCCUCGCCAAGAGACAUGAGGACAAAGGCUGGCACAGAUGUAAGAGUGCGUGCGGUUUACCAGGGUCUGGGGAAUCCCACCUGGCUCUGACGGGGCGGGCGACAUUGAGGAUUUCAGGUUUCCUCCUUGGGAUCUACGGUUGGUGGAGAAAGGGGUAAGAACCUCUCAGCUGUGUGCAGCCGGUUGUUCCGAUUUCAACUAGCCCUCCCCUUCUUAAACAACCAAGAUGAUUCUCAACAAAGAUCUUCUUAGGUGGCAGCCAGCUUUUGAGAAGACCCAGGAGUGAUGGGAAGGCAGCUGGCCCCAGGAUGCACCUUGCUUCCAGCGGAGACGGUUGAAAGAGAAUCGCGGAAUUUUGAGUGCCA